rnacentral:rRNA from 1 species
UACAGAGGGUGCAAGCGUUGCUCGGAAUCAUUGGGCGUAAAGGGUAGGUAGGUGGUCUCGUUUGUCUGGGGUGAAAGCCCAGGGCUUAACCCUGGAAGUGCCCCAGAAACGGCGAGACUAGAGUCUAGGAGAGGGUCGUGGAAUUCCCGGUGUAGCGGUGAAAUGCGUAGAGAUCGGGAGGAACACCAGAGGCGAAGGCGGCGACCUGGACAAGUACUGACACUCAACUACGAAAGCGUGGGGAGCAAACAGG